rnacentral:misc_RNA from 1 species
GAUUGUGUUGUGUUCAUAGAAUACAUAGUCUAAAGAUCAGCAACACUAAUUUUACUACUACACACACUAUACAAGCUUGGAUAGUGGGAAUCAUCUUUGUAAUUCCAUUGGAGAAGAGAAGCAAAGUAGGAUAACUGAUGAAAUAAAUAAAUAGAACAGCAUCCCCUUUGAUCAAUCAAAACACUAAUGAUUUAGAAAACUAGCACUGACUAUACACAUUUGCAAGAUUGCCAGAAUCUAACUUCUUGUGCAUCCAAUCAAUGAUAUCCUGGGCAAUUUCUUCACGCUCAGGCUCAAAUAGAAGAUCGUGCAAGAAUCCAUCAUAAAGUUUAAUGUCUUUGAAUUCAGAAGCAGCCUCAUUGUACAAAUCUUGAGAAGCCAAUGGAUCAGUCACUCUAUCAGCAGAUCCAUGGAGGACUAAGAAUGGGACAGUGACUGACUUGAAGUUCCGCAUCAAGUAAGACGAGAUACGCAGAAUCUCAUGCCCUGUCCUCACCCUCAAAGGCCCAGUAUACACUAGAGGGUCAGAAUACUUAGCCACCAGUGCGGCAGGAUCCCUUGAAACAGGGAUUCCCCUUUUGUGAGAACCUUUGAACUGGUACCUAGGUGCAACCAAUGAAAAAAUUGGUGCCACAGCACUAACAAUAGGAUUUGCAGGUUUCACACGCAAUGCUGGUGAAGUCAAUAUGAUGCCCUCCACCAUGUUUUCAAUAUGUGGAUAAGAAGCUGCCUUUAAGACCACCGCUCCUCCCGUUGAAUGACCAAAGAGGAAGCAUGGUAUACCAGGGUUGUCAAACUUGACCUUUUCCAAGAAAGCCCCUGUGUCUGCCACAACAUGGUCCAAAGAUGGCACGUAUCCAUGUAAUCCAUCACUCCCUCCAUGACCUAUCCAGUCCAUUGCAUACACCCCAAAGUUGCAGGAGUUCAGUUGCCUAGCAAAAUGAGCAUAUCGUCCACUGUGCUCAUUCAGUCCAUGGAUGAUGAUAAUUAUGCCCCUCAAUUCAUCUGUAACCGGAAACCACGAUCGGCAAAACAAAGCAUUCCGACGAGCCCCAAAGAACAAAGACGUAUUCCAACGGCAGCUCACACCGUCAUUCUCAACCGUCAUAUCUAACGCCUCAGCAAGAGCCCUCCUUCUCUGCGUAUCCUCUUCAUCCCUCCGCAAAGCAAAUUUCCUCCUCUUCCCCAACACCGCCGUAGUAGCUGCAGAUGGCGAAGGCGGAGGAGACGAAGGUGACGUGGAGAACCUCCGUCGAGACAGAAGAAUUACCCAUAGGAAAAUAGACUGUAUAAAUAUAAUUAGUCUCCGGUAAGUUUGGUAUGAGAAAACUGACCGGUGAAGAUUUUUGAAAAGAGGAAUUAUCCGACCACUUGCGCCGGAAGUAAGCUCCUCCACCGGCAACGAAGAUUCCAUCAAAUGAAGAA